rnacentral:misc_RNA from 1 species
GAUGAAGAACGCAGCGAAACGCGAUAAGUAAUGUGAAUUGCAGAAUCCAGUGAAUCAUCGAAUCUUUGAACGCACAUUGCGCCCGCCAGCAUUCUGGCGGGCAUGCCUGUUCGAGCGUCAUUUCAACCCUCGACCUCCCCUUGGGGAGGUCGGCGUUGGGGACCGGCAGCACACCGCCGGCCCUGAAAUGGAGUGGCGGCCCGUCCGCGGCGACCUCUGCGCAGUAAUACAGCUCGCACCGGGACCCCGACACGGCCACGCCGUAAAACACCCAACUUCUGAACGUUGACCUCGAAUCAGGUAGGACUACCCGCUGAACUUAAGCAUAUCAAUAAGCGGAGGA